rnacentral:rRNA from 1 species
GAUGAACGCUGGCGGCGUGCCUAAUACAUGCAAGUCGAGCGAACGGACGAGAAGUUUGCUUUUCUGAUGUUAGCGGCGGACGGGUGAGUAACACGUGGAUAACCUACCUAUAAGACUUGGAUAACUUCGGGAAACCGUAGUUCAUACUGGAUAAUAUUUUGAACUGGUUGGUUCUAAAGUGAAAGGCGGUCUUGCUGUCACCUAUAGAUGGAUCCGCGCUGCAUUAGCUAGUUGGUAAGGUAACGGCUUACCAAGGCAACGAUGCAUAGCCGACCUGAGAGGGGGAUCGGCGACACUAGAGCUGAGACGCGGUCCUGACUCCUACGGGAGGGAGCAGUAGGGAAUCUUCCGCAAUGGGCGAAAGCCUGACGGAGCAACGCCGCGUGAGUGAUGAAGAUCUUCGGAUCGUAAAACUCUGUUAUUAGGGAAGAACAUAUGUGUAAGUAACUGUGCACAUCUUGACGGUACCUAGUCAGAAAGCCACGGCUAACUACGUG